GUCAUUUAGAGGGUCUUCCUUUGGAGACAUUUGAUUCGAUGAAUCCGUCGAAGACUCCAUUGUUCACUCUGAUUCACGCUCUCUUGCCACCCUCCUUCUCAUCCGAGAUAUCCAGUCGAAGCGUCUUCCUAAUAAAGACUCUAGGUCUGUUUCUCUACGGCAUUCAGUGUUUUCUCAGAGCUCCUGGAUUCGUGAAAUGCAGCAGGCUUCAGACAGAUCAAUAAUAAUAAGUGAGAUAUUGGACUCUAGGACAAGAAAUCUUGUGUCAGUGUCUAGGAUAAGUGAUUACGUGCUGUCAAAUGAACUGGUGAGCAUGGCACUUGCAAUGGUAGCAGAAGACAAACAGAUUAAUCGUGUU
rnacentral:misc_RNA from 1 species